ACAAACUUGGUCAUUUAGAGGAAGUAAAAGUCGUAACAAGGUAUCCGUAGGUGAACCUGCGGAUGGAUCAUUACCAAUUUUUAAUAUAUUAGUUUGGGGCUGUCCUGUAAAAAGGUAGUCACACAACUACUAUGUAAAUGUUGAACUAGAUCAAUUGGUGUGGAUUGCUUGGGAAUGGUCAAGAGGUCUCUCUUUUCCGGACAGGCAAACCCCACACUGAUAACCCUUUUCAUAUAUAUACUAUACUACUAGUACAUACUACCAAAAACAAACAAACAAACAAUAGGACUUAUAACGGUUGAGUGGGUAAAAGCCUCAACUAUAAAAUAUAACUAUUACAACUUUCAGCAAUGGAUCUCUAGGCUCUCGCAUCGAUGAAGAACGCAGC
rnacentral:misc_RNA from 1 species